rnacentral:rRNA from 1 species
GACGAACGCUGGCGGCGUGCUUAACACAUGCAAGUCGAACGGAAAGGCCCUGCUUAUGUGGGGUGCUCGAGUGGCGAACGGGUAAGUAACACGUGAGUAACCUGCCCUUGACUUUGGGAUAACUUCAGGAAACUAGGGCUAAUACCGGAUGGAUGCUCCUGCUUCAUGGUGUGGGUUGGCAAGUUUGUGCGGUUGGGGAUGGACUGGCGGUUGAUCAUCUUGUGGGUGGUGUAGUGGCUUACCAAGGCAUUGACGGGUAGCCGGCCCGGGAGGGUGACCGGCCACAUUGGGACUGAGACACGGCCCAGACCCCUACGGGAGGCAGCAGUGGGGAAUAGUGCACAAUGGGAGGAAGCCUGAUGCAGCAACGCCGCGUGCGGGAUGACGGCCUUCGGGUUGUAAACCGCUUUCGCCUGUGACGAAGCGUGAGUGACGGUAAUGGGUAAAGAAGCACCGGCUAACUACGUG